rnacentral:rRNA from 1 species
GAUGAACGCUGGCGGCGUGCCUAAUACAUGCAAGUCGAGCGAACAGACGAGGAGCUUGCUCCUCUGACGUUAGCGGCGGACGGGUGAGUAACACGUGGAUAACCUACCUAUAAGACUGGGAUAACUUCGGGAAACCGGAGCUAAUGCCGGAUAAUAUAUUGAACCGCAUGGUUCAAUAGUGAAAGACGGUUUUGCUGUCACUUAUAGAUGGAUCCGCGCCGCAUUAGCUAGUUGGUAAGGUAACGGCUUACCAAGGCAACGAUGCGUAGCCGACCUGACAGGGUGAUCGGCCACACUGGAACUGAGACACGGUCCAGACUCCUACGGGAGGCAGCAGUAGGGAAUCUUCCGCAAUGGGCGAAAGCCUGACGGAGCAACGCCGCGUGAGUGAUGAAGGUCUUCGGAUCGUAAAACUCUGUUAUUAGGGAAGAACAAAUGUGUAAGUAACUAUGCACGUCUUGACGGUACCUAAUCAGAAAGCCACGGCUAACUACGUG